rnacentral:rRNA from 1 species
AUUGAACGCUGGCGGCAUGCCUUACACAUGCAAGUCGAACGGCAGCACGGGAGCAAUCCUGGUGGCGAGUGGCGAACGGGUGAGUAAUAUAUCGGAACGUGCCCAGUCGUGGGGGAUAACAUAGCGAAAGCUACGCUAAUACCGCAUACGAUCUAUGGAUGAAAGCGGGGGAUCGCAAGACCUCGCGCGAUUGGAGCGGCCGAUAUCAGAUUAGGUAGUUGGUGAGGUAAAGGCUCACCAAGCCGACGAUCUGUAGCUGGUCUGAGAGGACGACCAGCCACACUGGGACUGAGACACGGCCCAGACUCCUACGGGAGGCAGCAGUGGGGAAUUUUGGACAAUGGGCGCAAGCCUGAUCCAGCAAUGCCGCGUGCAGGAUGAAGGCCUCCGGGUUGUAAACUGCUUUUGUACGGAACGAAACGGCGAGCUCUAAUACAGUUUGCUAAAGACGGUACCGUAAGAAUAAGCACCGGCUAACUUCGUGCCAGCCGCCGCGGUAA